UACGUAGGGUGCAAGCGUUGUCCGGAAUUACUGGGCGUAAAGAGUUCGUAGGCGGUUUGUCGCGUCGUUUGUGAAAACCAGCAGCUCAACUGCUGGCUUGCAGGCGAUACGGGCAGACUUGAGUACUGCAGGGGAGACUGGAAUUCCUGGUGUAGCGGUGAAAUGCGCAGAUAUCAGGAGGAACACCGGUGGCGAAGGCGGGUCUCUGGGCAGUAACUGACGCUGAGGCGCGAAAGCGUGGGGAGCAAACAGG
rnacentral:rRNA from 1 species